rnacentral:rRNA from 1 species
UACGUAGGGUGCGAGCGUUAAUCGGAAUUACUGGGCGUAAAGGGCUCGUAGGUGGCCAACUAAGUCGGACGUGAAAUCCCUCGGCUUAACCGGGGAACUGCGUCCGAUACUGGUUGGCUUGAGUUUGGGAGAGGGAUGCGGAAUUCCAGGUGUAGCGGUGAAAUGCGUAGAUAUCUGGAGGAACACCCGUGGCGAAGGCGGCUCUCUGGGACGGUACUGACGCUGAGACGCGAAAGCGUGGGGAGCGAACAGG